CUCCCCGGUAGGUCAUUCUUCCCCUGUAGGUUCAUUCUUCCCUGGUAGGUCAUUCUCCCUGUAGGUCAUUCUUCCCGGUAGGUCAUUCUUCCCCUGUAGGUCAUUCUUCCCCUAUAGGUCAUUCUUCCCUGGUAGGUCAUUCUUCCCCUGUAGGUCAUUCUUCCCCUGGGUCAUUCUUCCCCUGUAGGUCCAUCUUCCCCGGUAGGUCAUUCUUCCCCGGUAGGUCCUUCUUCCCUGGUCCGGUCAUUCUUCCUGGUAGGUCAUUCUUCCCCUGUAGGUCCUUCUUCCCUGUAGGUCAUUCUUCCCUGUAGGUCAUUCUUCCCCGGUAGGUCCUCAUUGUAAAUAAAGAUUGGUUCUUGACCUGACUUGCCUGGUUAAAUUAAGAUAAAAGAGAGGAUCAGAACUAUAUUCA
ensembl:lncRNA